AUUGAACGCUGGCGGCAGGCCUAACACAUGCAAGUCGAACGAGUGGCGGACGGGUGAGUAAUGUCUGGGCAACUGCCUGAUGGGGGGGGAUAACUCCUGGAAACGGUAGCUAAUCCCGCAUACCAUCAGAUGUGCCCAGCUGGGAUUAGCUAGUUGGUGGGGUAACGUCUCACAAAGGCGACGAUCCCUAGCUGGUCUGAGAGGAUGACCAGCAACACUGGAACUGAGAGACGGUCCAGACUCCGACGGGAGGCAGCAGUGGGGAAUAUUGCACACUGGGCGCAAGCCUGAUGCAGCCAUGCCGGGUGUAUGAAGAAGGCCUUCGGGUUGUAAAGUACUUUCAGCGGGGAGGCGUUACCCGCAGAAGAAGCACCGGCUAACACCGUGCCAGCAGCCGCGGUAAUAC
rnacentral:rRNA from 1 species